rnacentral:rRNA from 1 species
CCCUUAGAUGUUCUGGGCCGCACGCGUGCUACACUGAGUGGAUCAGCGGGUCAGGUUGCGCGAAAGCGUUUCCUAAUCUUUAAAUCCGCUCGUGAUGGGGAUUGACGGUUGCAAUUUUCUGUCAUGAACGAGGAAUACCUUGUAAGCGCGGGUCAUCAUCCCGCGCUGAAUACGUCCCUGCCCUUUGUACACACCGGCCGUCGCUCCUACCGAUUGAGUGGUCCGGUGAGGCUUUGGGAUCUGAGCGGAAAGAGCGUUUCGCUGUUUCUGCUCGGAAAACUCAGUCGAACCUUAUCAUUUAGAGGAAGGAGAAGUCGUAACA